CUGGAUGAAGGUUAAACUAGCUUAUUAAGUUUGUGUGACUAAAUAAGAAAUUAAAGUUAAGGUAAGAAUUCUUUAAUUUUCUAGGGGACGAUAAGACCCUAGAAGCUUAACAAAUAGAGUGUUUGGUUUUGUUUUACAAGUUAAUUUGUUUUACUGGGGCGGUAAAAAUAAUUAAGCUAUUUAUUACUUAAAGGAUCCUUUAAAUAAAGAAAAAAUGGGGUAGUUACUCUAGGGAUAACAGUGCAAUAUUUUUGGAGAGAUCUUAUUGAUAAAUAUGUUUGCAACCUCGAUGUUGAAUUAAAAUGUCUCUAUGACGCAGAAGGUAUAGAAGAAGGUUUGUUCAACCUUUAAAUUUUUACAUGAUCUGAG
rnacentral:rRNA from 1 species